CCUAAUGUCUGUCCGAUGUCUAAUUGCAUCUAAUUUAUUUAUUGUCUAACAGCGUAUGUAUCUAUUUCUUACACCUCGUUCGAAUUAUUCAAAUCACUUGAGUUUCAUAGUUUAAACGAGUUUUUAAGUGGUUCACUGAAACGUCUCACGCGUCGUAGGAAAUUUCUCAAAAAAUUAAAAAGCCAAGAAAACGAGUGAUUUCGUUAUUCGAGAGUUUGUGCAACUUGAACACAAUACUAUUUGUGGAUUUUUUUCUUUUUGUUAGAAAGUGGUGUUUUGAGAAGAUUACCUUGAAGAUGAAAUUCCCCAUGACUUCCCGAAGGGCCUCCACUUUCGGCUGUCACUGCUGGCCGAUAUGAGGCCAUAUUUACACGCGGGUUCACAGAACCCCACGUAGCGAACUUUCUUUCUUUCUCCCCGCCUAUAUAUCCUCACCCCUGACACGUUUAUUUCCGACGACACGGCGCAUCUUUCGUUUAUCAUUUACCCUAUUCGCGGUCUUGUGUAUUUUUUCUUCGAUUUCUCGUUUAUAAACGUCUUCCUUUCGUUCUACCCCUCUUGCCCCGAGAGAAGAAAGAAAGCUCACAGUGGAAAGGCUUAUUUUCACCUUUUUAUAGCCUCGAGCUAGUUUGAUCGAAGAUUGCAAAAUCAUUCUAUUAAAAAAGAUAUGGCCAACACUCGUCUCAAUUAUUAAUGUGAAACCUCUCCUCGAUUCACUCUCUCGAGUUUACCCACUUUUUGCUCUAAUAAAGUCGUCCAGGUUUUAUCUGGAAAUUUUCACCGUAAGCUCUAAUCCGAACAACGAGAGAAAAUCGAACAAAGACGAAUGAUAAAUUCGUCCUACUCGAUUAAAUCCACAAAUCCAAUUAGUAAAACUCAUCCGAUUUCUGCGCUUAAUUAAGACAUCAGUCUGUUGCGUCUUGCUUCUGAUUUGAUUAAGUACGUGAAAACAUAUCGCGUUAGAACGACGGACAAACAUUUUACGGAGAACAGAUGCAUUUAGAAAGUAGAAUAUGUAAAUCGCGCACUAAUCUAACACGCUAACCAUUAUGGAUUAGGUGUAGCUACUCUAUAGCUCGUGUUAUGUGCUUCUUCUUUCACUGAAUACGUCAUUAAUUCCAUGAAUAUUGAUGGUGCUUUUUUAGUGCGUCGUGGUUUCUGUGGAAAUUACAUAAUUGUUUACAUUGCAUAUGGAUUACAUUUCUUAAUGCAUCGUUAUCUAAUUGUAAUAGCACUGGCUAUGAUAAUAAGAUAACUGAAAUAUAGUAAUAAACGAUUAAAGGGCGCAGAAAAAAACCAAUUGAAGGAACAAAAGAUCAUCGCCACGUCAAUUAAGGAGAAAUUGCGAGAAAUUAAGAAUAAAUCAAUUUUAUUCAUAGUUCAAUCUAGAAAAAAAAAAAAAAAAAAAAAAAUAUGGAAAUACUCUUGCUCGAAAUUGAGAGAUAAUAAAUCGUAAGAUGAUAAUCUGAUAACCAUGAAUAACAACGUAUAAUAUUUGUCGAAGACUGAUACACGCAACGUGGUGAUUAUCGUUUAACAACUGUUUGGAUUUCAAUACAACAUUUUUGGAUGUCAAUCGAAAUUCUUUGAAAAUAAAUUGACAAGAUCAACGACUUGACAUAGAAAAAUAAAAUGCGACGCUAACAAUUGAA